rnacentral:misc_RNA from 1 species
CUUAGCAAAUUUUCAAGUUUUCCUAAGGUUACUUCCAGCGUUUAGCAAUGGCUGCCAGUGAUGACGAGCUCAUAGACUAUGAUUUCUACGACGAUGAUGAUCUCUGUACCUUUGGCGAUGAUUCCGACGCUAGUUCUGAAAACGACUACAUCCCCGAAACCGAUGAUGAACAGCCGGAGGAGAAAAACUACACCGUUUUGAAAGAAGCAGACAUCAAGCGGCGUCAGGAGGAAGAUAUAACAGAAGUUUCCAAUGUUCUUUCGAUACCCAAAAGAUAUGCAUGUAUCCUUCUUCGUCGCUAUAGGUGGACUGUUAGUCAAGCCCUCGAUAGCUGGUUUGCUAAUGAAGAGGAGGCACGUAAAUCCGCUGGCUUGAUGGGCAAGGACGACGAAGUUGUUACUUCUUGCGAGAUCAGAGAACUUACUUGCCAUAUCUGUUAUGAACGCCAUUCUUGUAGAAAGUUUUCUACUGCUGCUUGUGGUCACCCUUUCUGUAAUUCUUGCUGGUCGAGAUAUGUAAAAGUAAGUAUUGAUGAUGGUGCUUGUUGCUUGAUUCUGCCAUGCCCUGAUCCGUCCUGUCGAGUUGCUGUUGAUCAAGAUCUGAUCAAUUCUUUCAAGGAGUUGCCUGAGGAAUAUAAGGCAAGGUAUGCGAGGUUCCUUCUUAGAUCCUAUGUGGAAGAGUGUGGGAAAAGGAGAAUCAAGUGGUGCCCAGGACCUGGAUGUGAGAAUGCUGUGGAGUUUUCUUCUGGGAAUUGUAAAAACUUCGAUGUGUUGUGUGAUUGUUCUCAUGAAUUUUGCUGGAAUUGUCCAGCAGACGAGGCUCACAGUCCGGCGAAUUGCGAGAUGGUGGCAAAGUGGAUGAAGAAG